AUGGGAAGCAUCAGACAAUGCCAAUGUCCAGUAGUAAGAUUUGAUUGUGCAGGUGAUCAAGCCAAGAUAAGUGUUAUCCUAGACCACUUGGGGACAAUAUCAUCCAUUUCUUGCAUACUGCAAUGCAAGUUCAAAAAGCCAGUUUCUUAUUAUCUCUGUGUUCACCUAACUGCCAAGAAUCAUAAAAGGAUGCACCUAAUGAGGGAGCUGCACAGAUUUGGAACAACUUCCAGAACAGGCAUCCAAGAAUUUUGGUUUGGUACCACUAAGCUGCCAGAGCAAGAUAGCUGGGAUGUGAGUCCCUAG
rnacentral:rRNA from 1 species